ensembl:misc_RNA Metazoa_SRP Metazoan signal recognition particle RNA
GCUGGGCGUGGUGGUGUGUACCUGUAAUCCCAGCUACUCAGGAGGCUGAGGCAGGAGAAUCACUUGAACCCGGGAGGCAGAGGUUGCAGUGAGCCGAGAUCAUGCCACUGCACUCUUGCCUGGGUGACAGAGUGAGACUCCGUCUCAA